AUCACUUAUAGGCUACGAGCGGGUCGUCUGGCUCCUUGCUGCUAUUGGCUGCUGACUUGGCGCAGGCGCUAUGGCCCCUGCGUUGGCGUUCGCGGUUGCAGAGGCAGGGCUUUGGCUACGGAAGACCAUAGGACCCACUCACUGUUCACAGCAGCACUGAGAAAAAUUCUUCACUGGGGCUCCUGACAGCUAUAUUUCAGGCUACCUGUAGGUCCGAGUUCUGCAGAGAAGGUUCAAGUGGAAGCCAGCCAUCCUGUCGUGAGGACACUCAAGCAGCUGCAUGGAGAGAUCUACUUACCAGAGAACUGAGGUCCCCCAGCCCAAAGCCAUCACCAAAUUGCCAGCAAUGUGAGUGAUCCAGCUUGGAAGCAGCGCUUCCGGCCCCACUCAAGCCUUCCAAUGACUGCAGCCUGAGAGACCCAAAACCAGAGCCAUGCAGCUAAGCUGCUCCUGAAUUCCCAGCUCCCCCAAACUGUGUGAGAUGAUUAAUUAGUGUUUGCUGUUGUUUCAAGCUGCUAAGUUCUGGGUUCAUUUGUGGUGUUUCUGAGCUCUCUGAGGGUCUCUGUCUAGGGUUUGAGAUUUCUGAGCUUUUUGUGGCCUAUAUCCAUAUCUGGGUGUUGGGGACACUCCAUGUUGCACAUUUUUAGGUCUCUGAUCUCUUUAGGGUCUCUCUCUGGGUUUUUAGGCCUCUGAACUAUUUGGGGAUCUGUGUCUGAAAACAUGGGGAUUCUGGGCUGUUUCUGGUUAAUGUCCAGGACGUGAUCAUAACUGUUUGGGAUCCUUUAAUCCCAGGAUAUGAUGUCUCUAAGAUAACUUUGUACUUGAGUCCAGAACUUGAAGUCUCUGAGCUCCUUUGCAGUCUGUGUUCUGGGUGUGAGAUCUUUGAGGUAUUUGGGAGUCUGUGUCUCUGGUUUCACAGCCGUGAACGCUUUGGAGGACUGUAUGUAGGUUUUGUUUGUUCUUUGAGGUGUAUGGAGUUUUAAGUCCCAGGAAGAGACAUCACCGAGGUGACUGGAAUCUGCAUCCAGGUGUUCAAACAGUUUGGGCCCCUGAGUCCCUGGAUAUGAAGUCCCUGCUGUGUUUGAGAGUCGAUGUCCAGAUAUUGAUAUUUCUGGUUUUGAGGGCAGGCGGAGCCUGUGUUUCAGGUUGUCAGCUCUCUGAACUAUUUCUGGGUGUGUGUCCCAAAUGUGUGGGGUCCUAGACAUGGCUGUAGCUCUGUGUUGUAGUAUAUGAGGUCUCUGUUCAUGGGUGUAUGUGGCAGCGUGUGAGGUAACUGAACUCCUUCAGUGUGUGUGCACAAGAUCAUAAGGUCUCUGAUCUGUUUGGGUGUGUGUUUCCCAGCAUGAGAAUUUUUUAUUUGUUUGCGGGUGUAUAUUCCAUGGUGUUAGUUCUCUAAUCUGUUCGGAUGUGUAUGUCCUGGGUGUGAGGUUUCUGCUAUGCUCGUGGGUGUAUGGUCUAAUGGUGUAAAGGUUUCUGAUCCACUUAGGGGUAUAUGUCCCAGGGUAUGAGGUCUCUGAUCUGUUUGUCAUUGUAUGUCUCAGGAUGUGAGGUCUCUCUUCUGGAUGCAUGUCAAGGGUAGGAGGUCUCUAAUCUGUCUUUAGUUUUAUGUCCCCGGAUGUUAGAUCUCUGGUCUCUGUGGGUAUAUGUGCCAACGGGUGAGCUCUCUGUCAUGUUUGUGGGUAUAUGUCCCAAUAGAUGAGGUCUCUGAGGUCUUUGUGGAUAUAUUUUCCUGGUCGGUAUGUUUCUGAGCUUUUUUGGUUAUGUUUUGGUUAUGUUCUCUCAGGGCACUCUGGUCCAUUUGUUGGGUGUAUGUUGCAGGCUGAUAAGGAUUGUCUGUCUGAGGGUGUAUGUCCCAGGGUGUGAGGGUCUCUGCUGUGUUUGUGGGUGUAUGUCUCUGAAUGUGAGAUAUCUAAAAUGUUUGUGAGUAUAGUUCUCAAGAUAUAAGUUCCCUGAACUCUUUGUGGGUGUGUGUCCCAGAAAAGGAAAUCUAUGAUCUAUUUGUGAGCAUAUGUUCCAGAACAUGAGGUCUCAGAGCUGUCUGUCCCUGUGUGUGUCCCAAUAUGUGAGGUCUCUCUUCGUGGGUGUAGAUCAAAGGUACGAGUUCUCUGGUCCUUUUGUGUUGGUACCUCCCAGGGAAUGAGGCCUCUGAGCUGUCCGGGGUGGGGGAAUUUCACAUAAUGUGAAUUCUCAAGUAUGGUUGUGGCUAUAUGACCUAGCAUAUAGGUCUCUGAUCUCUUUGGGUGUGUAUGUUCCGUAGUUUGAAGUCUCUGAGCUCUUUAUUGAUGUAUAUUCCAGGAUGUGAGGUCUCUGAUCUUCUUGUUAUAUACUGCUAGUACGCGAGUCUGCCUUCACUAGUAUAUGUCAAAGUCUAUUUGUGGGUGUAUUUCCCAGUGUAUGAGGUCCCUGAUCUGUUUCCAGGUGUUUGUUCCAGAGUAAGAAGCCUCUAAUAUGUCUCUGAUCUUUUCAUAAAUGUAUCAGGAGCUUGAGGUCCUUCAUCCCUGUGGUUGUAAUUCCCAGAGGCCUUGUCCGUGUUGUGUGUGUGGCUCUACGUCCAAGAAUGUUAUGUAUCUGUAUUGUUUCUGCAAGUAUGCCUCAGUUGUGAGGUCUCUGAUCUCUUUGUGGGUAUAUUCAUCAGAAUGGGAGAUCUCUGAUAUGUUUGUGGGUGUAUGUCCCAGAGUGUGAGGUCACUAAUGUUUGUGCAUGUAAACCCCAGGAUUUGAGGUCUGUGAUAUGCUUAUCACUAUAAUUAUCGAUGUGUGAAAUGUCUCUCAUGGGUGUAUGCCAAAGGCAUGAGCUCUCUGAUAUGUCUGUGUUUAUAUGAACGUGGGUGUAAGAUCUCUUAUUUGUUUAUGGGUGUAUGUCUCAGUGUGUGAGGUUUGUGAUGUGUUGGGGGGUUAUAUCCCAUGGUCUGUUCUGUUUGGGGGUUAUUUGCUGGGAUAUGACGUGUAUGUAUUUUUAUCACUGUAUAUCCCAGUAUGUGAGGUCUCUCAGAUGGGUGUAUAUAGAAAGUGUAAGGUCUUUGAUCUAUUUGUGGUUAUAUAUCCCUGGGUGUGAGGUCUCUGAUAAGUUUGUGGAUUUAAUUCUUUUUUUUUAAGUUUAAUUUUUUAAUUUUUUAACUUUUAAUUUUUAUUUUAUUUAUUUAUUUAUUGAGAGAGAGAGUGUAGGAGGGGCAGAAAGAGAGGGAGAGAGAGAGAAUCCCAAGCAGGCUCCUCACUGUCAGCUCAGAGCCCAAUGCUGGGCUCAAACUCACAAACCAUGAGAUCACGACCCGAACUGAAACCAAGAGUUGGCCGCUUAGCUGACUGAGCCACCCGGGCACCCCACAUGGAUUUAAUUCUUACACUUUGACAUUGCCUAUCUGUUUGCAAGUGUUAUGUCACAUGAUGCGAUAUCUCUGAUCUUUUUGAGGGUGUAGGACCCGCAGUGUGAAGUGUCUUUCUAUUCCUCGUGUAUUUCCAAACAUGUGAGGUGUCUCACCUGUGUGAGGGUGUGUAUCCCACGAUGUGAGGCCUCUUACUUAUUUGCAGGUAUAUUCCCAAGAUGUGAGCUCUUUUCCUCCCUUUUGAGCAUAUGUCCCAAUUUGCUUCGUUUCUGAGUAUAUUUCCCGCUCUGUGAUGUCUCAGCUGUUUGGGGUGUAUACUGCAGGAUUUGAGCUCUCUGGUGUAUCAUACAUGUAUGUCUCAGGUUCUGAGGUUGCUAAUGUCUUUGUGGGUGCGUAUCACAGAAUGGGAGUCUCUGAUCUGUUUGCGUUUGCCAAGGGUAUAAAGUCUUAUAUGGUUGUGCAUAUAUGUCUCAGGAUGUUAGGACCCUAGCUGUUUGUGGGUAUAUGUCCCAGGAUGUGAAGUGUCUGACCUGUUUGUGUGUGUUCGUCCAUGGGGGUGAGAUUUCUGAUCAGUUUUUCAGGCACAUUACAUCCCAGGAUGUAAUGUCUCUGAUCUCAUUAUGGGUCUAAUUCCCAGGAUUUAAGGUCUCUGAUCACAUAUGGAUAUAUGUCCCGGAAUGUGUUUCUUUACUUUUUACAAGUAUAUGUCCCAGGUCGUAGGUUCUCUGAUCUGCUAGGGGGUUCUUUGCCAAGAUCUGAGGUUUCUGAUCUGUUUAUGGGUAUGUGUCAUAGAAUGCGAAGUCUUGGCUCUUUUAUGGUGUGUUUUAUGUCCAGAGUGUCAGGUUUCUGACUUCUCUGUGGUUGUGUGUCAUGGUGUGAGGUCUCUUCUCUGUUCCUUCCUGUGUGAUUCAGUAUGUGCUCUCUGGUCGUGAAUUUUGACAAGGAUGUAAGUUCUCUGAUCUGCUUGUUGCGUAUUGCAGGAUAUGAAGUCUCUGAUCUGCUUGGUGGUGAGUAUCCCAGUGUGUGAGGUGUCUGAGCUCUGUGUGUGUGUGUGUGUGUGUGUGUGUCCCAGGUUGUGAGGUUUCUGGUCUGUUUAGGAGUGAAUGACAGCAGGUGCCAUAUGUGAACUCUUGAUGGGUAUAUGUUCCAGGCUUUGAGGACUGUGACAUGGUAGUCGGUAUAUGUGCUGGGCGCGAGUGGACGUGAGAACCAUAAUCUGUUUCUGGAUGUACCACUCAGCGUGUGAGGCCUCUGAAUUGUUUGUAGGUUUCUGUUGCAGGAUUUGAAGUCUGCGAUUUCUUUUUAUCUUUAAGUAAACUCUACGCCCAAUGUGGAGCUCAAACUCGUGACCCUGAAAUCGAGGGUCGCAUACUCUACUGACUGAGCUGGCCAGGUGCGCCUAGUCUAUGAUUUCUUUAUGACUAAACUUUCCAGGCUGUUAGGUCCCUGAUCUGUUUGUGGGUGUAUAUAUGAGGUGUGAGUUCCCUGACUGGUCUGUGGGUGUAUGUCCCAGGAUGUCACAUCUCUAUCAGUCUGUGCCAUGUACGUCAUGUCUGAAUACUCGCCUCCCCAAUGAUAUCCACGUCCCAAUCCCUGGAACCUGUGAUUAUGUUAACUUUUUGGCAAAAAGGACUUUGUAGGUAUAAUGAAGUGAACCACUCUGAGAUUGGGAUUUCAUCCUGGACUAUCCAGGUGGGCCUAACAUAAUGAUUAAAGUCCUUAUAUGUGGGAGGCAGGAUGGUAAGAGUUGGAAAUGGCAGUGUGACAGUGAUACAAGCUGAGUCAAAGAUGGUGACAUAAAGAUGGAAACAGACUCAGAGAAAGAGCUACGACAACUGAAUCAGAGGGAAGCGAAAUCGGAGAGAGAUCUGAAGAAUGAAACCCUGCUGGCUUUGAAGAUGGAGGAAAGGGCCAUGAGCCAGGGAAUGCAGCAGCCCCUAAAACCGGAAAAUGCCAGGAAAUGGAUUCUGUGUUGGAGCCUCCAGGAGGAAGGCAGGUCUGCUGACAACUUGAUUUUAUCUCUGUAAGACUCAUUUUCGGGUUUCUGACCCAUAGAAACGUAAGGUAAUAAAUGUGUGUUAUUUUACAACA